AAUAUUGGACAAUGGGGGGAACCCUGAUCCAGCCAUGCCGCUUGGGUGAGGAGGGUCUUCGGAUUGUAAAGCACUUUAAGUUGGGAGGAAGAGUUGUAGGCUAAUACCUUGCAAUUUUGACGGUACCAAAAGAAUAAGCACCGGCUAACUUCGUUCCAGCAGCCGCGGUAAUACGGAGGGUGCAAGCGUUAAUCGGAAUUACUGGGCGUAAAGCGCGCGUAGGUGGUUCGUUAAGUUGGAAGUGAAAGCCCCGGGCUUAACCUGGGAAUUGCUUUCAAAACUGACGAGCUAGAGUACGGUAGAGGGUAGUGGAAUUUCCUGUGUAGCGGUGAAAUGCGUAGAUAUAGGAAGGAACAUCAGUGGCGAAGGCGACUACCUGGACUGAUACUGACACUGAGGUGCGAAAGCGUGGGGAGCAAACAGG
rnacentral:rRNA from 1 species